rnacentral:lncRNA from 1 species
ACGUGCCUCCCAUCCCCACAUCUGAGCACAGCCCUUGCACGGAUUGAGGGUGAGUCCAGAUAUGAAGGCUUGCUGGUAAAGAAAUUUCCAGGACGAGAUGUCUGCAGCAAGCAGUCCACCCUCCAUUAAGAACCUCUGAGGACAUCAAGAAAAUACAGAAAUGGAGAAACUCUGGAAUGGGAAUGGGAAGAAGGCUACGGUUUUGCCCUGAGUGAGAGCCUUGGCUUUUCCUUCCACGGAUUUGGCUGCAGAUCCAGAGAGAUGGGAGCAGGAGGCUUCUGAGGAGAGCUGAAGCCACCAACUGUUCUGGAAGCCCUGGUUUUAGGAGUGGUAAACAAAGAGAAAAGGAGAUAGGUUGUCAGCCCAGCUUCAGAAUGAAGAUCUUGGGGAAGGACUCCAAGAGGCUGGACAUGGACAAUGUGCUUUAUCCUCGACCAGCAUCACAGCCAAAGACCAGGAUGAGUCAAGCAGUGCCUCUGAUUAUGAGCGCACCCUCAAGUUCGCCCAAAGUGCAGUGUGGAGGGAGGAUUCCUGAAUUUGGAGGCCUCAGUGGGAAC